GGUCCCUCUAGUUUUAACCCUGCAGCUGAAAACAUAGCAGUUUCAGAGAAACUGCUAUGUUUCACUGAGGGUUAAUCCAGCCUCUAGUGGCUGUCUCACGGACAGCCGCUAGAGGAGCACACUGAACGUCCAUAGGAAAGCAUUGAGUAAUGCUUUCCUAUGGGCGGUUUGAAUGCGUGCGCAGUCGCAUUCGGAGCUGAGAGGCUGAGGGAUCCUCAGCGCCAAGGGAGUCCGGCGCUGGAGAAAGGUAAGUGCUGA